rnacentral:rRNA from 1 species
UUCCGGUUGAUCCUGCCGGAGUCAUUGCUAUCGGGGUCCGAUUUAGCCAUGCUAGUCGCGCGGGUUAGACCCGCGGCGUAUAGCUCAGUAACACGUGGCCAAACUACCCUACAGACGGGAACAACCUCGGGAAACUGAGGCUAACUCCCGAUACGCGUCGACCGUUUGAACACGUCGACGCUCAAACGCUCCGGCGCUGUAGGAUGUGGCUGCGGCCGAUUAGGUAGACGGUGGGGUAACGGCCCACCGUGCCAAUAAUCGGUACGGGUUGUGAGAGCAAGAGCCCGGAGACGGAAUCUGAGACAAGAUUCCGGGCCCUACGGGGCGCAGAGGCGCGAAACCUUUACACUGCACGCCAGUCGAUAAGGGGACCCGAGUGAAAGGGCAUAUCGCCCUUUCUUUUCUGAACCGUAGGGAGGUUCAGGAACAAGAGCUGGGCAAGACCGGUGCCAGCCGCCGCGGUAAUACCGGCAGCUCGAGUGAUGACCGAUAUUAUUGGGCCUAAAGCGUCCGUAGCUGGCCGCGCAAGUCCGUCGGGAAAUCCACCCGCUUAACGGGUGGGCGUCCGGCGGAAACUGCACGGCUUGGGACAGGAAGGCUCGAGGGGUACGUUCGGGGUAGGAGUGAAAUCCCGUAAUCCUGAACGGACCACCGAUGGCGAAAGCACCUCGAGAGGACUGAUCCGACAGUGAGGGACGAAAGCCGGGGUCUCGAACCGGAUUAGAUACCCGGGUAGUCCCAGCCGUAAACGAUGUUCACUAGGUGUGACACUCACUACGAGUGAGUGUUGUGCCGCAGGGAAGCCGCUAAGUGAACCGCCUGGGAAGUACGUCCGCAAGGACGAAACUUAAAGGAAUUGGCGGGGGAGCACUACAACCGGAGGAGCCUGCGGUUUAAUUGGAUUCAACGCCGGAAAU